AUUUUAUGGUCUGUCAACUGCCAUGCCUGGAGCUAUUCCUUGACAUCAAUAUUAUGCAGAGAUGUUAAGAGAUGAGUUUUGGAUGAAAGAAGCUGUCAUGGUGAUCUGAGCCGGCUGGAGAAGAAAAGGAAAGAAGAUACUGCCGAUCAGAAAAGAAUUGUCUAAAUGGAAUAUCGGAGGAAACCCACACAAACGUGAUGAACAUGCAAGUGUUGUCCCUUGCCGGAUGUAAACCCAAGACACCAGAACUGCAAAGCAACAGUGCUAACCACUGAACUGCUA